AGACACGGUCCAGACUCCUACGGGAGGCAGCAGUGGGGAAUAUUGGACAAUGGGCGCAAGCCUGAUCCAGCAAUGCCGCGUGUGUGAAGAAGGCCUUCGGGUUGUAAAGCACUUUUAUCGGGAGCGAAAUACCAUCGGUUAAUACCCGGUGGGGCUGACGGUACCCGAGGAAUAAGCACCGGCUAACUUCGUGCCAGCAGCCGCGGUAAUACGAAGGGUGCAAGCGUUAAUCGGAAUUACUGGGCGUAAGGGUGCGUAGGCGGUUAGUUAAGUCUGUCGUGAAAUCCCCGGGCUCAACCUGGGAAUGGCGAUGGAUACUGGCUGGCUAGAGUGUGUCAGAGGAUGGUGGAAUUUCCGGUGUAGCGGUGAAAUGCGUAGAGAUCGGAAGGAACAUCAGUGGCGAAGGCGGCCAUCUGGGACAACACUGACGCUGAAGCACGAAAGCGUGGGGAGCAAACAGGAUUAGAUACCCUGGUAGUCCACGCCCUAAACGAUGCGAACUGGAUGUUGGUCUCAACUCGGAGAUCAGUGUCGAAGCUAACGCGU
rnacentral:rRNA from 1 species